GAUCUGCACUGGCAGGGAAGAGACCAAGGUCACCAAGUGGUUUUCCCAGGGAAAGGUUCAUCCAUUGUGCUCCAGACUACCGCCCACUGUGACUUCCCCAGUGAUGGGAAACUUGACUGUGUAACUUGUGGCAGGGGGACUGCGCUUGCAGUUCCCUU